AGGAAGACGGGAAUAUGAGGACGACAGCAACGGUGUCUUGUGAAAAGACCGUAACUUUGCAGCGGACUCAGAACGAGCCAAGAGUGAGUGACGCCACCACCGUCUCAGGGUCAUGAAGUUUUAGCUCUUCAGUCAUCAUUCGUUCCUGGUCACUACUACGGCAGCCAUGCGAGUUCCUCACACCAAGGUCCCGAGUCAUCGUAUUUUACCACAAUUUUAAGUGCUCGUGCCGCAGCUGACUGUCAUUUGAAUUCCUGGAUGUGGUCACGGAGGGAAGGUAACCACAGGGUGGAGCCCUGGUGGGGGAGCAUCGGCACAUCUUUCCAUCCCUGCGUGGGUUAUGAAAAACAACUGGCCUUGGAAAAACUCCCACCAGGAGCAGAAGUUUAUGGAGUGCAUGCACAGAGUUGACCUGUGCACAAACCGCCUGCCUGCAUAAAUAAAUAUGCAAACACUUUAAGGAGCUUUGGCAAGUCAUGAUAGGGGCCGGCAAUGCAAAUGA